UCUCCUUUUUAUUUUCAAGAACUUAACUUUUAGGUGAAGAGGCCUAAAUUCUAUUGAAGGACAAGAAGACCCUAUCGAGCUUAAAAGACAUUAUAGAGGUUUAUAUAUUUGUAAAUAAAUUUUCUAUUAAGCUUUUUAGUUGGGGCGGCUAAGGAACAAAAAAAGCUUCUUGCUAAUAACAAACAGUCAUGUUUAGAUCCGAAAAUAAUCGAUCAAAGAAAUUAGUUACCGUAGGGAUAACAGCAUAAUCUCUCUUGAGAGACCUAAUCGAAAGAGGGGGUUGUGACCUCGAUGUUGGACUAGAAUAUCCUAAAGAUGCAGAAGUCUUUGAGGGUCGGUCUGUUCGACCGUUAAAAUUCUACAUGAUCUGAGUUCAGACCGGCGUGAGCCAGGUCAGUUUCUAUCCUCAAUUUAUUUAUCUGUGCCUAGUACGAAAGGAUCGGCCCAGAAAGUGUAAACUUUUAUUAAGAAUUAAAAUAAUAGAAAAAUAAAUUUUAUU
rnacentral:rRNA from 1 species